UACGGAGGGUGCAAGCGUUGUUCGGAAUUACUGGGCGUAAAGAGCGUGUAGGCGGCCUUGUAAGUCAGAUUUGAAAUCCCUUGGCUUAACCAAGGAAGUGCAUUUGAAACUGCAGGGCUUGAGUACGAGAGGGGGAAGCGGAAUUCCCGGUGUAGAGGUGAAAUUCGUAGAUAUCGGGAGGAACACCGGUGGCGAAGGCGGCUUCCUGGAUCGAUACUGACGCUGAGACGCGAAAGCGUGGGGAGCAAACAGG
rnacentral:rRNA from 1 species